rnacentral:rRNA from 1 species
GUUCCAGACUCCUACGGGAGGCAGCAGUGGGGAAUAUUGCACAAUGGGCGCAAGCCUGAUGCAGCCAUGCCGCGUGUGUGAAGAAGGCCUUCGGGUUGUAAAGCACUUUCAGUCGUGAGGAAGGUAGUGUAGUUAAUAGCUGCAUUAUUUGACGUUAGCGACAGAAGAAGCACCGGCUAACUCCGUGCCAGCAGCCGCGGUAAUACGGAGGGUGCGAGCGUUAAUCGGAAUUACUGGGCGUAAAGCGCAUGCAGGUGGUUUGUUAAGUCAGAUGUGAAAGCCCGGGGCUCAACCUCGGAAUAGCAUUUGAAACUGGCAGACUAGAGUACUGUAGAGGGGGGUAGAAUUUCAGGUGUAGCGGUGAAAUGCGUAGAGAUCUGAAGGAAUACCGGUGGCGAAGGCGGCCCCCUGGACAGAUACUGACACUCAGAUGCGAAAGCGUGGGGAGCAAACAGGAUUAGAUACCCUGGUAGUCCACGCCGUAAACGAUGUCUACUUGGAGGUUGUGGCCUUGAGCCGUGGCUUUCGGAGCUAACGCGUUAAGUAGACCGCCUGGGGAGUACGGUCGCAAGAUUAAAACUCAAAUGAAUUGACGGGGGCCCGCACAAGCGGUGGAGCAUGUGGUUUAAUUCGAUGCAACGCGAAGAACCUUACCUACUCUUGACAUCCAGAGAACUUUCCAGAGAUGGAUUGGUGCCUUCGGGAACUCUGAGACAGGUGCUGCAUGGCUGUCGUCAGCUCGUGUUGUGAAAUGUUGGGUUAAGUCCCGCAACGAGCGCAACCCUUAUCCUUGUUUGCCAGCGAGUAAUGUCGGGAACUCCAGGGAGACUGCCGGUGAUAAACCGGAGGAAGGUGGGGACGACGUCAAGUCAUCAUGGCCCUUACGAGUAGGGCUACACACGUGCUACAAUGGCGCAUACAGAGGGCGGCCAACUUGCGAAAGUGAGCGAAUCCCAAAAAGUGCGUCGUAGUCCGGAUUGGAGUCUGCAACUCGACUCCAUGAAGUCGGAAUCGCUAGUAAUCGUGGAUCAGAAUGCCACGGUGAAUACGUUCCCGGGCCUUGUACACACCGCCCGUCACACCAUGGGAGUGGGCUGCAAAAGAAGUAGGUAGUUUAACCUUCGGGGGGACGCUUACCAC